rnacentral:rRNA from 1 species
AUUGAACGCUGGCGGCAUGCCUUACACAUGCAAGUCGAACGGCAGCACGGGAGCAAUCCUGGUGGCGAGUGGCGAACGGGUGAGUAAAGUAUCGGAACGUGCCCAGUCGUGGGGGAUAACGUAGCGAAAGUUACGCUAAUACCGCAUACGAUCUAUGGAUGAAAGCGGGGGAUCGCAAGACCCCGCGCGAUUGGAGCGGCCGAUAUCAGAUUAGGUAGUUGGUGGGGUAAAGGCUCACCAAGCCGACGAUCUGUAGCUGGUCUGAGAGGACGACCAGCCACACUGGGACUGAGACACGGCCCAGACUCCUACGGGAGGCAGCAGUGGGGAAUUUUGGACAAUGGGCGAAAGCCUGAUCCAGCCAUGCCGCGUGCAGGAUGAAGGCCUUCGGGUUGUAAACUGCUUUUGUACGGAACGAAAAGGUUUGGCCUAAUAAGCUGAGCUCAUGGCGGUACCGUAAGAAUAAGCACCGGCUAACUACGUGCCAGCCGCCGCAGUAA